CAGUAGCCGCGGGAAAACGGAGGGGGCUAGCGUUGUUCGGAAUUACUGGGCGUAAAGCGCACGUAGGCGGCUUGGUAAGUUAGAGGUGAAAGCCCGGAGCUCAACUCCGGAAUUGCCUUUAAGACUGCCGAGCUAGCAGGUGAGAGAGGUAAGUGGAAUUCCGAGUGUAGAGGUGAAAUUCGUAGAUAUUCGGAAGAACACCAGUGGCGAAGGCGGCUUACUGGCUCAUACUGGACGCUGAGGUGCGAAAGCGUGGGGAGCAAACAGGAUUAGAUACCCGAGUAGUCCCUGUCUCUUAUAU
rnacentral:rRNA from 1 species